GGUUGGAACUGCGUUUUCUUGAUCUGCAUACCAUUCGAAGCCAUAACCAUCUUUAACAUAAUAAUUUCUCGUCAUCCACCUAGUUACCAUAUCCUUCUCGUAUAUUGAACAUAAUAAUUCAUAAUUAAAUUAUUAUUUUAUAGUUUAAAAUUAUGUUUUAUGAUUGAUAAACUGAUUAAUUCAUUUUUAUAAAUUAAUAAUUUAUAGUAUAAAAUUAGUUUAUUUGUACAUAUGUAAAUGAUUGGUUUUAUGUAUAUAUUGAGUGGUUAUAAUUUAAUUUAUGGAUUAUAAUUUAGUUACCUAUUUAUAUUUUAAGGUUUAGGCCCUAAUUGGCAGAGCAUUAGCAUUAGCGGAAGCAGUAUGCUAUAGAAGCAGUGUGCUGCAAGACCUGUAUGUUUUUGCUAACUGUUUAAUAUGAUGAUUGGUAGAGCAGUAUGAGUAUGCUAUUUAAAAUUAUUAUAAAAAUUAGUAUAUAAUAUAUAAUAUAUCUAUUUU
rnacentral:lncRNA from 1 species